rnacentral:rRNA from 1 species
CCCUUAGACGUUCUGGGCCGCACGCGCGCUACACUGACCAGUGCAACAAGCAUCCGUCCUUGGCCGACAGGCUCGGGUAAUCUUUGAACGCUGGUCGUGAUGGGGAUAGACUUUUGCAAUUUUUGGUCUUCAACGAGGAAUUCCUAGUAAACGCAAGUCAUCAACUUGCAUUGAUUACGUCCCUGCCCUUUGUACACACCGCCCGUCGCACCUACCGAUUGAAUGGUCCGGUGAAGCCUCCGGAUUGGCGCGCACCUCGGUGCCGCCGAGAAGUUGGCUAAACCUUACCAUUUAGAGGAAGGUGAAGUCGUAACA